AGCCAGUUAGCUUAAUGGUAAAGCGUUCGGCUUUGACCCGAAAGUUAUAGGUUCAAUUCCUAUACUGGCUU
rnacentral:tRNA from 1 species